rnacentral:rRNA from 1 species
GAUGAACGCUGGCGGCGUGCCUAAUACAUGCAAGUCGAGCGAACAGAUCAGGAGCUUGUUCCUUUGACGUUAGCGGCGGACGGGUGAGUAACACGUGGAUAACCUACCUAUAAGACUGGGAUAACUUCGAGAAUCCGGAGCUAAUACCAGAGAAUAUAUUGAACCGAAGGGUUCAUUAGAGAAAGACGGUUUUGCUGUCACUUAUAGAUGGUUCGGCGCCGCAUUAGCUUGUUGGUAAGGUAACGGCUUACCAAGGCAACGAUGCGUAGCCGACCUGUGAGGGGGGUCGGCCACACUGGAACGGAGCCGCGGCCCGGGCGCCUCCGGGACGGAGCAGAAGGGAAUCGUACGCAAUGGGCGGGAGCAUGGCGGAACAACGCCACGUGAGUUGUAAAAGUCUUCGGAUCGUAAAUCUCUGUUAUUAGGGAAAAACAAAUGUGUAAGUAACUAUGCACUUCUUGACGGUACCUAAUCAAAAAGCCCCGGCUAACUACGUG